rnacentral:rRNA from 1 species
UACGUAGGGGCUUAGCGUUGUCCGGAUUUAUUGGGCGUAAAGAGCUCGUAGGCGGUUUGGUGAGUCGGGUGUGAAAUCUCCACGCUCAACGUGGAGGAGCCACCCGAUACUGCCAUGACUGGAGUCCGGUAGGGGAGUGUGGAAUUCCCGGUGUAGCGGUGAAAUGCGCAGAUAUCGGGAGGAACACCUGUGGCGAAAGCGGCUCACUGGACCACAACUGACGCUGAGGCGCGAAAGCUAGGGGAGCAAACAGG